GACAUUUUGGCCGAGUGGUUAAGGCGCCGCCCUGCUAAGGCGGUGGGUUCGCCCGCGUAGGUUCGAAUCCUGCAGAUGUCG
rnacentral:tRNA from 1 species